UUGAACGCUGGCGGCAGGCCUAACACAUGCAAGUCGAACGGUAACAGGAAGAAUUUUGCUUCUUUGCUGACGCGUGGCGGACGGGUGAGUAAUGUCUGGGAAAUUGCCUGAUGGAGGGGGAUAACUACUGGAAACGGUAGCUAAUAUCGCAUAACGUCGCCAGACCAAAGAGGGUGACCUUCUGGCCUUUUGCCAUCGGAUGUGCCCAGAUGGGAUUAGCUAGUAGGUGGGGUAACGGCUCACCUAGGCGACGAUCCUUAGCUGGUCUGAGAGGAUGACCAGCCACACUGGAACUGAGACACGGUCCAGACUCCUACGGGAGGCAGCAGUGGGGAAUAUUGGACAAUGGGCGCAAGCCUGAUGCAGCCAUGCCGCGUGUGUGAAGAAGGCCUUCGGAUUGUAAAGUACUUUCAGCGGGGAGGAAGGGAGUAAAGUUAAUACCUUGGCGCAUUGACGUUACCCGCAGAAUAAGCACCGGCUAACUCCGUG
rnacentral:rRNA from 1 species